rnacentral:rRNA from 1 species
CAUGCAAGUCGUACGCACUGGCCCAACUGAUUGAUGGUGCUUGCACCUGAUUGACGAUGGAUCACCAGUGAGUGGCGGACGGGUGAGUAACACGUAGGUAACCUGCCCCGGAGCGGGGGAUAACAUUUGGAAACAGAUGCUAAUACCGCAUAACAACAAAAGCCGCAUGGCUUUUGUUUGAAAGAUGGCUUUGGCUAUCACUCUGGGAUGGACCUGCGGUGCAUUAGCUAGUUGGUAAGGUAACGGCUUACCAAGGCGAUGAUGCAUAGCCGAGUUGAGAGACUGAUCGGCCACAAUGGAACUGAGACACGGUCCAUACUCCUACGGGAGGCAGCAGUAGGGAAUCUUCCACAAUGGGCGCAAGCCUGAUGGAGCAACACCGCGUGAGUGAAGAAGGGUUUCGGCUCGUAAAGCUCUGUUGUUGGAGAAGAACGUGCGUGAGAGUAACUGUUCACGCAGUGACGGUAUCCAACCAGAAAGUCACGGCUAACUACGUGCCAGCAGCCGCGGUAAUACGUAGGUGGCAAGCGUUAUCCGGAUUUAUUGGGCGUAAAGCGAGCGCAGGCGGUUGCUUAGGUCUGAUGUGAAAGCCUUCGGCUUAACCGAAGAAGUGCAUCGGAAACCGGGCGACUUGAGUGCAGAAGAGGACAGUGGAACUCCAUGUGUAGCGGUGGAAUGCGUAGAUAUAUGGAAGAACACCAGUGGCGAAGGCGGCUGUCUGGUCUGCAACUGACGCUGAGGCUCGAAAGCAUGGGUAGCGAACAGGAUUAGAUACCCUGGUAGUCCAUGCCGUAAACGAUGAGUGCUAGGUGUUGGAGGGUUUCCGCCCUUCAGUGCCGGAGCUAACGCAUUAAGCACUCCGCCUGGGGAGUACGACCGCAAGGUUGAAACUCAAAGGAAUUGACGGGGGCCCGCACAAGCGGUGGAGCAUGUGGUUUAAUUCGAAGCUACGCGAAGAACCUUACCAGGUCUUGACAUCUUGCGCUAACCUUAGAGAUAAGGCGUUCCCUUCGGGGACGCAAUGACAGGUGGUGCAUGGUCGUCGUCAGCUCGUGUCGUGAGAUGUUGGGUUAAGUCCCGCAACGAGCGCAACCCUUGUUACUAGUUGCCAGCAUUAAGUUGGGCACUCUAGUGAGACUGCCGGUGACAAACCGGAGGAAGGUGGGGACGACGUCAGAUCAUCAUGCCCCUUAUGACCUGGGCUACACACGUGCUACAAUGGACGGUACAACGAGUCGCAAGCUCGCGAGAGUAAGCUAAUCUCUUAAAGCCGUUCUCAGUUCGGACUGUAGGCUGCAACUCGCCUACACGAAGUCGGAAUCGCUAGUAAUCGCGGAUCAGCAUGCCGCGGUGAAUACGUUCCCGGGCCUUGUACACACCGCCCGUCACACCAUGGGAGUUUGUAACGCCCAAAGUCGGUGGCCUAACCUUUAUGGAGGGAGCCGCCUAAGGC